rnacentral:rRNA from 1 species
AUUGACCGCUGGCGGCAGGCCUACCACAUGCAAGUCGAGCGAGCGGCGGACGGGUGAGUAAUGUAUGGGGACUGCCCGAUAGAGGGGGAUAACUACUGUAAACGGUGGCUAAUACCGCAUACUAUCGGAUAACCCAUAUGGGAUUAGCUAGUAGGUGGGGUAAAGGCUCACCUAGGCGACGAUCUCUAGCUGGUCUGAGAGGAUGAUCAGCCACACUGGGACUGAGAAACGGCCCAGACUCCGACGGAGGCAGCAGUGGGGAAUAGGGCACAAUGGGCGCAAGCCGGAUGCAGCAAUGCCGCGUGUAUGAAGAAGGCCUUAGGGUUGUAAAGUACUUUCAGUCGGGAGGCGUUACCGACAGAAGAAGCACCGGCUAACUCCGUGCCAGCAGCCGCGGUAAUAC